rnacentral:rRNA from 1 species
GCAAGUCGAGGGGUAACGAUGUCCUUGGACAGGCGACGACCGGCGCACGGGUGAGUAACGCGUAUGCAACCUACCUGUUACAGAGAGAUAGCCCGAAGAAAUUCGGAUUAAUAUCUCAUAAUACUAUUUAUUCGCAUGAAUGAAUAUUUAAAGCUCCGGCGGUUACAGAUGGGUAUGCGUGACAUUAGUUUGUUGGUGAGGUAACGGCACACCAAGACUGCGAUGUCUAGGGGGUCUGAAAGGAGGAUC